rnacentral:misc_RNA from 1 species
GUGAUUUGUUGUUUCUAACAAACACAACACUGUGGUAUGUUGCGCGGAGAGAGGAGGAGGAUUGUCGGUGGGUUGGUGGGUGUUGAUUUCGACGCCUCAACACCAGCCCGCCACCAUCAUCCAGCAACAAGACACUGAAACAAUCUAUCUACAACUCAAACACAAAACAAACA